GAUAAGGUUAUACCCAGAAGUUCAAACUUGUAAUAAGGAAACAUGCUUCACUUUGUCCAUAGCAGCCUUUUGUAUAAUAACAAGAAGCUGAAAUGAACCCAGAUGACUCUCUUUAGAGGAAUGUAUAUAGAAAAUAUGGCACAUUUACUUAAUGAAUUACUACACAGCUAUUAAAAACAAUGAAUUCAUGAAAUUUUUAUACAAAUGGAUGGAUCUGGAUGAUAUCUUCCUAAGAGAGUUAACCCAAUCACAAAAAACACACAUGAUAUUCACACAUUGAUGAGUGGAUAUUAUCCCUGAAGCUCAGAAUAACCAAGGUAAAAUGUGCAAAACCCAUGAAACUGAAGAAGGAAGACCAAAGUGUGGAUAUGCCGUUCCUUCUUAGAAUGGGGAACCAAAUUAUCAUGGAGGGAGUUACAGAGACAAAGAUUGGAGCUGAGAAUAAAAGAAUACAGAGACUGCCUCACUUGGGGAUCCAUCCCAUAUACAACCACCAAAUCUACUGAAGAUGCCAACAAGGGAUUGGGUGCAGGAGAAUGAUAUAGUUGUCUCCUGAGAGGAUCUGCUAAUGCCUGACAAAUAAAAAAGUGGAUGUUCACAGACAUCCUUUGGACUUAGCACAGGGUCCCCAAUUAUGGAGCUGGAGAAAAUACCUAAGGAGCUUAAGGAGUUUGCAGGCCCAUAGAAGAAAAAACAACAUGAACUAACAAGUACCCCACAAUUCCAUGGGAUUAAACCACCAAUCAAUGAAAACAAAUAAUGGGAUAUAUGAUUCCAGCUUCUUAUGUAGCAGAGGAUGGACUAGUCAGGCAUCAAUGGGAGGAGAGACACUUGUUCCUGUAAAGAUCCUAUGCCCCAGUAUGGGGGAAUACCUGGGUUAGGAAUUGGUAGAUGAUGUGUUGGGGAGAUGGGGGAGAGGGGAGAGGACAGGAGAUUUUUUGGAGUGGAAACUAGAAACGGGGAUAAUAUUUGAAAUGUAAAUAAGGAAAAGUUAUAAUAGAAAAAGAAAGGAAAUAAUUUAUUUGCAAGUUUUAUGAAAUAAAUUCAUGUUUGGCAAACAUAUUAUAUGAACAAUGUUCAUGUCUUUUCUUGAGGCGAAAUCAAGAAAGUUCUUCUCUCUCAACAUAUGCUGAUAUAGUUCCAAGAGUAGGUUUAUGUGCUGCAAAACCUUGUAUAUAGGAAUAGAGAGAUAUAGGUAAAAUUAGAAAUGAAGUAUAUGUAAACUCUUAACAAAGACUUCUUCCAUUUCAGGUGACUAGGUAAAGUCUAAUGAACUGCAGGACACAAUUAAUACUGGAAAUGCGAUACCUUCCGAAAGAGCCUCCUCUGAAACUUUUAUGUCAUCGUCCUCAUCAUCAAAGUCCAAAAGUAAUAAGUAACCUUCCUUUGGUAUCACCUUCAAUUUCUUAAGAGCCAUUCUUCUCAUAAGAACACAGUAGUCUUCUUAGUUUAAAAAAAAAAAACAAUAAAAAUAAAAAGGAAAAAAAAGAACUUAGUUACCUGAUUAAAAAUUAUCAUUUAAAAAAUUAAAAAUAACAAAAAAUCAAAUAAUAAUUUUAGCUCAAUGAAAGAUCAUUUCUUUUUUUACUUAACAUGUAUAUUUUUAAUCAAUUGCCUUUAUCAGAGAGUUCUGUGUACAUAUUCAAUAUGGUGAUGCAUAUAUAUAUACACUUACCCGUACCAUUUCCUCCGUGUAUCCCAUUUAUCAUGUCCCUCUCCCUCACAACUUGUUUUAAAAACUUCUUUAACUCACUUCUUUAAAAACCUCCUUUAGAACCUAAAUUAUUAGUCUGCAAUUUCUCAGUUUAAAAAGAGACAAAAACUGGCCAACCUUCAACCUAUGAGUCCUCCCCUCCUCCCAAAAAACGAUGAGCAACAUCCUUUAACCUUUGAGGUAUCUGAAUUUUGGUCCUAUCUCCCACAGAAUAUUUUUAAACAAAACAUCAGCAAUUCUGUUUACCAGUUUAUCUCAGUCUAACGUAAACUCACAGUUCUAUCCAGAAAGAUAAAGAACAUGGUAACUGUAUAUUCAUAUCAAAAAGAUCCACCACUAAGUCUACAAAAAAACAUGAACUACCACCACCACCCACACAGAAAGACCUUAUAUUGGAGAAAUUAGGGAUUUGGGGAAGCCGAGGAUUUCAAACAUCUGAAGAUUGUAAGUUCAAGGCCAGGCCAAGCCGGGCCAGCUGAAACUACAAAGAUAGAUCCCAUCCUACAGAACCUAAACUGAGAGAAAAAGCUGAACUUGGUGGUGCAAGUCUUUAAUCCCAAUACAUGGGAGACUGAGACAGAAAGAUCUGUGGUCAGAAUCCAUCCCCAAUGACUUAUGAAUCUCUUACAAUUAUCUCCUCUUCUUCUUUUCAUUCAUCUUCCUAUGCCAUUCUACUGUCUGCAAUGUUCAUACAGUCUAUACCAAAGGAACACACCAUAGAGAAGACAAUGAGGAGGGAGGAAUCCUCAGUGUGUUUCUAAGGGAUCCUGAAUAUCACACAGGACAAUCGCCAAGGCAUCUCACCAAUGGCUCCCUGUUCCCUGACCCACAGUCCUGCAGCUGGUUCUCUGAUCCUAUCCCCAGGCCCCAAGCUUUUCUCUUCCAAGGGUUCCCAAUUCUCUAUGGCCCUGACCUGUUCGAUCCUCUUCCAUGAAUACGGUCCUCCACCUUCCAUUCACCCUCAGAUUCCACAGAAAAUGGCGAUCAGGAGGCUUUUCCUCACAUAGUGGCCUCCUGGGCCUGAGAUUCCCCACCCUGUCACACCUCGAUUAACUGUCCAACAACCCUGAUCAGGGCAGACUAUCACUUACAGCUCAUCUAAGAGGAGAACACCUUCCAAACCGCACCCUUCUGUGCUUAGCUCCUCAAUGGC
rnacentral:lncRNA from 1 species